rnacentral:misc_RNA from 1 species
GAAAAACUAAAAUCUAACACAUCAGAUCUUAAAAAUUAGACCAAUUCGAUUCUAAACCGUUGACCACCGAAUUUUUCAUGAACAUCGAGUAAAUUCAAAACAAGAAAAGUAACAACAACAAAAAGCAACAAGAUUAUCACAACCAAAUUAGUUGAAGCAUCAAAUUCCCAAAACAAAACUAAACUGAAACUCCAAUAUUUUUUACAUUGAUGUAACAAAUUCACUGCAUAAACUUGAUCUGAAAAGAAUUUCUAGCAACCAUAAGCAAAUAAACAAAAUACCCAAUUGCAAACACAAACACAUAAAGACAUACAGAUUGAUUGAUU